CUUUUCUACAGGAAUUUUGGCUGGGCCUAGUGUACUGGCAGGCCUCACUCAGGCUGGGAUUUAUGGCUGGAGCUGGUACCCCUGGGGCAAACAGGUCUCGGUGUGAGUCAGGGCAGACCUCGGCCGUGCCAACGCAUGCGCUGCUGCCCUCCAGAAGGUGUGGAUCUCCUAGGAAAAAGAUCAGCACAGCCUCCAUUGGGAGUUGCUGUAGACAACAAAGAUGGAGCCAACCCCCACAAGCAGAGAGAGGAGAGUACACAGCAACAGCUGAAGGUGCAAGGUGUGCUUGGGUGACCCAAGGACAGGAAGGUGGGACCUGUGCCCCAGACAAGCUGCAACUCACACCUGAACUCUCCAUGGAAAACUCCAGCCCUUCUCCUGUCUGACUCCCUCUGGUCUAUAAGGGAAGUUGGACACUGGGUUCCAGCUCUAUCAGCAAUGGAAAAAGCAAAAUAAUAACUUCACAUGACCUAGUUCUGGCUUUUCUGUUCUUACCAGCUGCAUGAUAGCCACCAUUCGGCACUACAGACUUUUAGUUUCCUUUAAUAAAGUCAUUUGCACUUUACCCGAGCCUGUUCUC
rnacentral:lncRNA from 1 species